CAGCUGUUUAUCAAAAACAUAGCUUAUUGUUUUUUUAUAAUAAGUUUUUUCUGCCCGGUGUUUUUAAUAAAAUUUGCUGUCUUUGUGAAGAAGCAAAGGUAGCAUAAUCACUUGUCCUUUAAUUGGGGGCUAGAAUGAAAGAAAGUUUGAGACCUCAUCUGUCUCUCUCUUAUAAAUAAAAUUUGCUGUCUUUGUGAAGAAGCAAAGGUGUCCGAAAAAGACAAGAAGACCCUAUUAAGCUUGAUCUUUUCAUUUUUAUCUAGAUUAAAUAAAAAUGAAAAGAUUUGGUUGGGGUGAUCAAAGAAGAUUYUUMUYUUYUUUUUUUUACAAGACUUUCCGUCAAAAAGUGACCCAGAAAAUUCUGGUUGUAAGAAUUAGUUACUAUAGGGAUAACAGCGUAAUCUUUUCAUAAAGUUCUUAUUGAAGAAAAGGAUUGCGACCUCGAUGUUGACUUAUUUUAUCCUAUUAAGGUGCAGUAGCUUUAAGGGUUGGUCUGUUCGACCAUUAAAAAAUUACGUGAGUUGAGUUCAGACCGGUGUG
rnacentral:rRNA from 1 species